rnacentral:rRNA from 1 species
UACGGGGGGGGCAAGCGUUGUUCGGAAUUACUGGGCGUAAAGGGCUCGUAGGUGGCCCACUAAGUCGGACGUGAAAUCCCUCAGCUUAACUGGGGAACUGCGUCCGAUACUGGAUGGCUUGAGUUUGGGAGAGGGAUGCGGAAUUCCAGGUGUAGCGGUGAAAUGCGUAGAUAUCUGGAGGAACACCGGUGGCGAAGGCGGCAUCCUGGACCAACACUGACACUGAGGAGCGAAAGCCAGGGGAGCAAACGGG